AGUCUCUUGUGGACACUUCCAGUUCAAGGAACUGAGAUAGGACAAAUGAGCAUGGGCCCUUCCUACAUGGAGCCUGAAAGGCUAUCGCCCACAAGAGGCCAACUGGACUUUCUCUGCACCUCUGGUUCCCUAGAAGGAAGAAGGAGAGGCUGGACAGGGACUCAGAAGCAGAUUGACUUCAAUAAAGGAAAACACUCUGCCUCGCAUGGUUUCUUCAGAAAAGCCCUGUGGAAUCUACCUGUUGAAAUAAGCACGUCUAGCUGCUUCUACAACUUUAAUUACUAAAAAAAGAAAAGAUCCAAUGCAACACUGAGAAAUGUUAUAUAUUUUUUAAAAUGACUGCUUCUUAUGAGAAAAGAUAAUGUUGCAUAACCAAGACCUGAUAUUCAAUUCUCAUCUAUGGUAACUCUGGCUGUUUCAAUUAUGUGAAAUCAUGUUCAUCAACAAUUUGACAGAGAAAAGCAAAAGAAAAUUAUUUCAUGUCUUCUAACAGCUGCAGAUUUGUGAGCAGAGAGCAAAUGACAGGAGUAUAUUUGGAUCAAAAUGUGAAGAUGUGCUUAAUUCUAUUCCAACACUCAUUCUCAGCCCCAUUUUUAACAUAUAAGAAUUCAUUCUCAUGUACACCAACCAGAUCCAGACUUCCAUGGGAUUUACUACCAUGAGGGACGGUGGAGUUUGUUAUGACAUAAACCCUUACUCCAAAUAUCCAACCUACAAGAUAAGUUUCCUAAUUCAUACAACACUCUAUCCUGUUUCAGGCACAAUUAAAAUAUCUUUCUUUAUUCCAAAAUCAAGAUAUUCCAUGGUGAUGAGAAUGAGAACCACCCAUUCUGGCUUGGAUGGUCUCCAUUUUAAAUGUUGCGUAGGAAGAUUAUCUAAGUAUAGACCUACUUGACAGGUUGUACUUCAAUUUUUAAUUUCGAUCCCAUGGUCACCAUAGCUGUGGGUCAUAAACUAAUUUUAGUGAUGAUCUUGGCAAUAUCCUUCUCAAUUUAUAAUUACUCAAUAAUCAUAUAUCAAUUAGAAAUGUACUCAGUCAGCCAAUAUUGCAAAUAUUUACUGGGUGCUUAUUAGGUGUCAGGUUCUGUGACAUGAUUUGAAGACACAAUGAAAAACAAAAUACAAUAUCAACCCUCUAGAAAAGAGGUCAACUAACUUUUCUGCAAACGGCCAAGUAGUAAAUCUUUUAGGCUUGUGGACCAUAUUGUUUCUAUCACAGCUAUUCAACUGUGCCAUUGUAACGGGAAAGCAGCCAUAGGAAUAUAAACAAAUGUGCCUGGUUGUGUUCCAAUAAAACUUUAUUUCAAAAAGCAGGUGGCAGGACUAGAUGUGGCCCAUCCAUCAUAGUUUUCCAAUUCCUGCUGUAAUUGCCUAGGGUCUAAAGCAGUACCAUCUAAUAAGAAUAUAAUGCAAGGCACAAAUAUGAGCCAUGGAUAUACUUUUAAACUUUCAGUUAGACACACUUUGAAAAGUAAAAAGCAAUAAGUGGGGUUAAUUUUAAUAAUAUGUUUUAUUUGACUGGGUAUAUCCCAAAUAUUAUCAUGACAACACGUAAACAAGUACUUAAAAAUUACUAAGCAACAUACUAGGUUUUUGAAAUCUGAUGUUUGUUUUACAUGUACAGCACUGUUCAAUUCGUCUCAGUCACAUUUCAAGUGCUCAGUAGCCACCACAGUGGUUAGUGGCCACCAUGUUACACAGCUCAGGUCUAAACAGAUGCAUAAUUGGUAGGGAUAAGCAUGAAGUAUUUAGAGUGAACAUGAAGGAGGAAAAGCCAACCUUAUAUCCAUGGUGGUUAUGGCUGGUGAUCAGGGAGAGUUUUUAUAGAAAAGAAAUCCAGCAUGAAGAACAGGAAUUCCCUAGUUGAGGAUAGAAAGAAAGACGAUUUUGAACAGAGAGGAAAUAUGCAUAAAAACCUCAAGAGGGAGAAAGGUGCAGCUUCUUAAAACAAUUUAAAGCAGCUCCAUAUGUAUAUGUAUAAAGUCAGGGUGGGUGGUGUGGACCCUGAGCUAAGGGAGUGGCAUUGGGAAUGGAGGGAAGUGACUUAGAUGUGAGAGAUAUUAAUGAGACAGAAUAGACACAGCUUGGAGAUGGAUUGGACAUAGAUCAGAUGAGGAAGAAGGAAGCAGCAAGGAUGAGGUGGAGGGUUUUAGCUUGCACAGAAUGCAAAGAUGAAGCUAUCAUUUGUUGAGAUGGGACAUGCAGAAGCAGGAGUAGAGUUGGGGAAAGGUGAAGAGUUCAGCCUGUGAGGCCUCAGGGAGAUGGGCACAAAGAUAACAAAAGACGUGCAAAAGCCACAUCCAUGUGCAGAACAUGCCUUCAUGCUCAGGAAGGCCUUUUACGGCAAGAGCUGCCCUCAUGCUGUGAGCCAAAGUCUCUCUCCACACUCCCUCCAACCUAAAUUUUUAUCUAGUAGCUCUGCCACCACAUGAAGGGCUAAAAUCCUGAUUCUGUUGGCCUAGACUGCUUGUUCUUUCCCUUCUGUUUUAUGUACUUAGCUCCUGCUCAUUUUCAGGUCUCAGUUUAAAUGCCACUUCUCAGGGAGACUUCUCAGAUACCCCAGAUGAUCCCCUUGCCACAUAAAUUCAUGUAUCUUUCCUCGGUGACAGUUUUCACACUUGUAAUUUCACAAGCAUUUGUGUAAUUAUUUGAUUAUUGACUUUCUGUCUUGAAAAUAAAGUUUAGUAAGCAAGAACUGUGUUUAUUCUUGCUUGACACUGUGAUACUACCCUCUGCCAUUUACCUAGCACAUCAUGGAUGUUCAAUAAAUAUUUGUGGAAU
rnacentral:lncRNA from 10 species